rnacentral:lncRNA from 1 species
UCCCACUUAUUUGCUUUUCCUUUCACUUGUAUAGUAUUUCUUCUCUUCUGCAAUUCAAGUUUGUUGAAAAUAUGUAUAGAAAUUACGCGACAUGUCAUUCAUUAUGUAAUCACAUGUUUCAUAAUGAAUAAAGCUAAAACAAAGGAGCAAGUUUAGCAACAGAAGUUUCCAUUUCAUGGAAUUUAACUUUUCUGAUGCAGAGAAAAUACUUGUUUGUUCUACUGAGAUUGUGCAGUAAUCUUACUCUUUUCGUUUUCUUUCUUCCAGCCACAGUAUCUGAAAAGGAUAUUCUGCAGCCACUGACAGUGCCAAAAGAUGAUAAACUACUUGGUGGUCUUCUUCCUACUGGAUUUGAUGAAACAUCUUGUUUGAGUAGGUAUGAAUCACACUUAUAUAGCAAACCUCUGCAGCAUAAGCCUUCCUCUUAUCUUAUCUCGGGGUUAAGAAGAUACGAAGCUCUUCACAAGCAAUGCGGACCUUACACAGAAUUAUACAACAAAACAGUAGACCUUAUAAAGUCCGGUGAAUACAGCAGUGGUUCUUCAGUUUGUAAUUACGUUGUUUGGAUAUCGUAUAGUGGUUUAGGGAACAGAAUACUAACCUUAACUUCUGCUUUCCUUUAUGCUCUACUCACAAAUAGAGUCCUUCUGGUUGACCCCAGAGCUAAUUUGCAUAACCUGUUUUGUGAACCUUUUCCUGAAGUUUCUUGGUUGCUUCCUCCAGAUUUUCCUAUUAUUGAUCAGUUUAGUAGCUUUAAUCAGAAAUCUCCACAUUCCUAUGGUUAUAUGGUGAGAAAUAAUGUCACAGGCAAGUCAAGAAUACCUUCAUUCCUCUACCUUCAUUUAUCUCAUGACUUUGAUGUGCAAGAUAAA